rnacentral:tRNA from 1 species
AUCUUUAUAGUUUAAGAAAAAUAUGAUACUGAAAAUAUCAAGACAUAUUAUUUAAAGAUA